ACAUCUGCGUACACAGCCUCAAUCACAAGGUCCUCCAGUUGCCGGACAUUCUUCAACUGUAGCUGCUCCAGCAGCACUGAAUAGGGGAUGCACUGUGGAAACAUGACAGUAACUAGCAUGAGUCCUGCGACAGAAGCGCCUGCACCGUACCCAUUUCUUAGAGCUUCUGCACAGCAAUCCCCAAAGCAACACUUUGUCUUGCCUGCAGGAUUUUGCAGACCAGGAACUCCCUUCCAGACAGGCUUCCAGUCAUGAUUCAAAGACUCCAGAAGAGAGAGGACCUUUCCCUUCACGUGAUCACCUCUUUUGGGGACUGAAAGAUGUUCCCUGCGGACAUGGACAUAUCUACCCUGCGGACAUCUUUUCCUGUUCAGAGCCAUACAAUUUGCUUUCAGUUGUCUUACAAGAAGUUUUAUGAGAAUGACCACCUUACUGAAUACAGCAGAUCAUUCUGUGCUGGUCCUAACCUCAUUAUUUUUAACACCCUAAUAAUAUUUGUGUCCUCAGAAAACUGUGUCAGAAUAAACUGUAUCUAUUCACCAAGCACUGAAUAAAGUGUUGACUC